UACAGAGGUCUCAAGCGUUGUUCGGAUUCAUUGGGCGUAAAGGGUGCGUAGGCGGCGCGGUAAGUCGGGUGUGAAAUCUCGGAGCUUAACUCCGAAACUGCAUUCGAUACUGCUUUGCUUGAGGACUGGAGAGGAGAUUGGAAUUCACGGUGUAGCAGUGAAAUGCGUAGAUAUCGUGAGGAAGACCAGUGGCGAAGGCGGGUCUCUGGACAGUUCCUGACGCUGAGGCACGAAGGCCAGGGGAGCAAACGGG
rnacentral:rRNA from 1 species